UACGUAGGGGGCAAGCGUUGUCCGGAUUUAUUGGGCGUAAAGAGCGUGUAGGCGGCCAUACAGGUCCGUUGUGAAAACUGGAGGCUUAACCUCCAGACGUCGAUGGAAACCGUAUGGCUAGAGUCCGGAAGAGGAGAGUGGAAUUCCUGGGUGUGAGCGGUGAAAUGCGCAGAUAUCAGGAAGAACACCCGUGGCGAAGGCGGCUCUCUGGGACGGUACUGACGCUGAGACGCGAAAGCCAGGGGAGCAAACAGG
rnacentral:rRNA from 1 species